rnacentral:rRNA from 1 species
UGGGGAAUAUUGGACAAUGGGGGAAACCCUGAUCCAGCGACGCCGCGUGUGUGAAGAAGGCCUGCGGGUUGUAAAGCACUUUUAGUGGGGACAAAAAGCUACGGAUUAAUACUCUGUGGUCUUGAUUUAACCCAAAGAAAAAGCACCGGCUAACUCUGUGCCAGCAGCCGCGGUAAUACAGAGGGUGCGAGCGUUAAUCGGAAUUACUGGGCGUAAAGCGCGCGUAGACGGUUUUGUAAGUCAGAUGUGAAAUCCCUGGGCUCAACCUGGGAACUGCAUUUGAUACUGCAUGGCUAGAGUAUCGAAGAGGGAAGUGGAAUUUCCGGUGUAGCGGUGAAAUGCGUAGAUAUCGGAAGGAACACCAGUGGCGAAAGCGACUUCCUGGUCGAAUACUGACGUUCAUGUGCGAAAGCGUGGGGAGCAAACAG